AUGGCAUGGUAACUGGGGAUGUACAGUUGAUUGGAAUUACUAAGAUUCUCCCAGGUGGGGCUUUGGGGAUUUGAAUAAAAACUCCUUUACUGGGAUUUAUAGCUUUCUAGCAAAUGGGUUCUACAUGAAGCCCAGCAUCCUUCAUGCAACUUGUUCUUAGCAAAUGGGUUUGCACAUUUCUAUUAUGCUCUUGGCUCAUCUUCUCUCCAGUAUACUCAGUGGUGGGAUUACAUGGUGACUCUAAAGUGAGAGCAGUAUAUUUGGGAGGGUGGUUGGUAGUGGAAGGUUGGAUCAAGCCUUCACUUUUUGAUGGCAUUCCCAAUGGAGAUAUGCUUGAUGGAACAGUGGUACAACUAAAGUCGGUAACUUUGGAUAAGUAUGUCUUUGCAGAAAAUGGGGGAGGGGCCAAUGUCUCUGUUAGUAGAGAUGUUGCAUCUUCAUGGGAAACGCUGAGGGAAUAAGAAGAAAGAAUGAAAUCCAAUCCAGACCUGUAUUUUAACUGUGCUAUUAUUGGUUGUAUUAAUGUGAUUAUGCCCCAGCUUUUCACGUGUGAUUUCUGUUGUUUCCAGACUUGAGUCUUCUAUGUCUGAAAAGCAUCACAAAUG